rnacentral:lncRNA from 1 species
CCAAUUCAAGGAGCAAGGAAAUUUGCACGAUCAGUCAGCUGGAAAGCAGUAAUGCUUCAAACCCCAGAAAAGAGAAAACAGGAAAAGAAACCAGAAAUUCAGCCAAGUGAUUAAUACACAAGUGCAACAUCCUGAGAGUAAGGUUUUAUCUUAUGUUACUAUUGAUAUCUCUAGGACUAAGGAAGGAUAACAAAACGAAAAGAAUAAUACUGUACAGAAGAAGAACUGCAGGCACAAAGAAUCAACAGCAACCAAACUCGCUUUCCGAACUAUUUGCAACCACAGAGAAUAAUACUGUACUUGUUUUCAUGAUUGAAUUUCCUUGUAUAUGCUCAGUAGCUUUUUAAGACGAGACACAAUACGAUCUUCAGAAAAGUUUCCCAGCUUGUUUAGCUUUCUUCUUACCCAUUUCGAGCGGGAUUUAAGCUUUUGCUGAAAUUCACACACAGCUUUUUAUUUCCUCCAUUCUGCACCAUGGACUUUUGGCGUCAACGGAUACAAGAAAGUUCCGUUCGUGGUUGGCCUUUGUAC